rnacentral:misc_RNA from 1 species
CGACGAAAGGUUGAGAUGCAAGAACAACUUGGAAGGGAGGUAAGCUGCCUUUUUUCAUUCUCUAAAGGCACUCGUUGUGUCAAGAAGGCUGAAUUGCAUGUCAAAAUGGUCCACAAAGUUAGGAAAACAAUUAAGUUGUUGAAAAAGAUUAAGAACGAAGCUACGGAUUUUGGACUUCGAGUCCUAUCUAGAGAUGGAAUAAUGUCUCAAAUCAACUUCGAUCGAACGACAGAUUCGAUCCUUGACAACCCAAUUGUGGGGAGGAAAGCUGAUGUCUCUGAAAUCGUGCACUUGCUGAGUUCCUGUGACCAACGAGUUCUAACCGUUGUUCCCAUAGUGGGGAUG